CUUUCCUGCUUCGGCAACUGGCUUGGAAGUGGACUUGAUUGAUUGAUUGUCUUCCCCUAUUCUUUUCCAUCCAAUGACACGGGGAAUCGGACUAAGAGAUGUUCUAAGAUACUCUUAAGAGGUUCCCCCACAAUCACAGGGAGAUAUUACCUGAGGUUAAAGGCGAUAGGAUUGGAGAGGAGAAGCCUGAGCACCCCAAACUGUUGAGAGAAGUGUCAGAC
rnacentral:lncRNA from 1 species